GACCCCUAGCCUGGGAACUUCCACAUGCUGUGGGGGAGGGGGGGUGGGAGUGGGCAGCAAAACAAACAGACAAAAAACCAAAAACGCCUUGAGUAAGAUUACCCACCUAGCAGGUUAAAAUUGGCCUAGAGCUUUACCAUUAGUCUCGUUAGAAAUUAGAAUGGCCCCUGCAAGCAGGCAUGCGAUGUCUUCUGUGAAUUUGGGUAUGAGGCUGUGCCCUGUGUCAGGUUUGAUAGAAUCCUCUCAUAAUUAUGUUCCAUACUUAAAACUGUGCUCAAGACUUCUCUUUACCCAGAAACCCCAAGACUUAAAGUCUCAAAGAUCUGGAGGCACCCGCCAGGGGAAGAUGGCCACCCUGUCCACUGGGAGAUGUUGGCUGCAUAAAGGCAUUCCAGAAGGAAGAGGGCCAGAAGGGUUGGAAGGGACUCCUUUGUCGCUGCAAAUGGCAUUAUUUCAUUCUUUUUUAUGGGUAAGAGCUAGCUGCCAACGGAAGAGAGGCAAGAUGAAAACCUGCCUGCCAGGAGGGUCUCUUUCCUCCACACCCUGAGACCCCUCCUCAUUGCCCCAGAGAGCUAUGAAGUAGUUGUCACCUGGCCAGGGCGGUUCCUGGGUGGAGCCAAGCAGGGUGAGGUAAGAAGCACACCCACCUCUCCCCUCCUCCCCCCCUCAGCCCUCCAUUUACCAAGAGGUCUCAGGAUUCCCAUGACAGACGGGAGAAAGGAGGUUGGGUCGGCAUCCUCAGGACCACCUGGCACAUUCUCUCAAGCAGUCAGUCCUUCUACCUUUUGGCCGGAGCUUCUCUUGCUCACCAGAUUUUUUUUUUAAGUGGGUAGAGAGAGGAUUUCUGGGUUUGAGUUUGACUGAGGGUUGACUGACCUGAUUAACUUCUCUGUCCAUUUUCGGACCCCCAGCCAAACUGAUUUGAUUGCUCUUGGGCCAGUUGCCUGCCCCUGUCUCAGUCACCUGUAGCGGGGGGCAGGGUGAGGAUAGGGAUGGGCAGUCGCGGGCAUGUGGCUGCCCAGCAGCCUGUUCCACAGCGACUGCCUUGCUUUUCUUUCCUUCUUCCCACAGAAAUGGCAGAGGAAGGACUCCAGCUCAGAUCUGCCCCCUCCCUCCGGGCCCCGGGGCCACUCACGUCCUCCCACCCCUACUCUGCCGCCCUCCUUCCCCCGCUUCCUGCCCUAGAGAGAAGAGAGAGUGGCUCUGCGCACCUGUCCAAGAGUUCCCCGGGUGGGCCUGUUGUAGGGACUUCAAAGCAGAGAAAGAGGCCCUGAAAAACAAAACAAAACACAGAGCACUCCUGGCGCAGAUGAUUAAUAUUCAUUUAGGUCUGCCUAAAUUUGUAAUUUGCAGGGCUUCUGGGAACAGUAUCGUUUACAAAACUGGAUGAAACCCAUCAUUAUGUCCCAGAAAGCAUGACUGCCUUGGAGAGCACGCAGUGUUUCUGACUCUGGUUAGGAUCAGAGAAGCCAGGCCUGCACCUCUCUCUGCAUCCCCUCAGGAGACCCCCAGCCCUCUCAUUAGAGCCCCGAGCAGGCUUCUGAGGGGUCACCUGGAGCCCCUCUGCUUGUCAUCUAAGCAUCUACUUCUAAGCGCCCCCUUUUGCUAUGCCUCUCCCCAUGACAUGCUCACAGCCUCACAUUGAAGGGCACAAGGUUCGGCCUCCCUGGACAAAGCCUUUGAUGCACAACGUGACCUCCAUGCCCUGGAGCUGCUCUUUUCCCUCUGGCCUGGAAAAUGCUUCAGAGCAAGCACAGUGAAAGUGACCUGAUCAGAAGGCAGAAGACCAGGCCAAAUAGGCUCUAGCUUCUUCCUGGGUGUAUGUCUGAAGUAUGUAAUAACUUUAAAAAUGUCAUUCCUAACUGAGGUCCUAAAACUGUUUUUUAGUGGCUGAUCAUUUGUGACAUAACUGGCAACCUUGACACCUCACUACGUGGUGAAGAAAGAUGCCGUAAAGGAUUUCUGUGCCCCGAGGACACACAGGAUAGAACAGGGCUGCAUUAAGACAUUGGAGCCCUAACACUCACACACUAGGUACUGGCAACAAAAAGAGAAUAAAUACAGUGCCUGCCCUUGGGGAACUCCCCACUAAAAUACCUCCCACUCCCAUCUCCCACCAUUGAUUAUUUAAGUUAAGCAGUGCUACAUGCCAUAAAAACAAUGAACAAAAACAUACUUCUUAAAAAAACAAACACUGCUUAUUGGUCAUCAAAGGAUGACAUGACUGAGCUCAUCAAUGAGCACAAUUUGAGGCGGGACCAGAUUCAACGUCCUUAUCUAACGUCCUUACCCACCCACCUACUUUCCUACUAUUUGUGACUUCCUAUCUUUGUAUCUUGGAGGCUUUUGGAUCAUUUAACUCUCCUCCUAAAGAGGCAGCCCCUGAAGCUCUUGUCAACCUACACCUUAGACACCAGUAACCUCAGCUGAGUUAGGCAGAAAUAAAUAUAGUCACAGGAGAGGAUGGCAGAUAAUGUGGGUUGCCUGACCCACACUCCAUUCCCAACCUAUCUCCUACUAGUGCCUUUUCCCAUGAGACACAAUGCUAGAUGAUAACACAUAGAUGGAACUCUGCUGUGAAGUUCUUGAUCCUUUCUCCAUUCUUCCUGUUGUGAAUAAGAAUUUGAUGGUUGGUGCUUCAGCAGCCAUCUUGCAAUCAUGAGGUAAUGAUCAAAAGAACCUUCAAGACAUUAGCCCUGAUGGCGUGGAGCUACCUAAUUAUCACUAGCAGCCAUUAGCCACCUCCAGACUUCUUAAGUGAGAAGAAUAAAUCCCUAUUGCAGCCUCUAUCACAGGUUUACCCUUAUUUUCAGUUAAAUCUCUGUUGACAAGUAUACAUAGAUAUCUGGAAAGUAGGAGGGGAGCACUGCCAUAGCUAUGCUUGCCAAGGGACCGAAAAUAGAUAUUUCUGGAGUAGUUUCUAGACUCAGACCUGCUGGAUAAAGGGCAGGGUCCUGAGUGACUCAGAUCCCUACUUUUAGACAUGGUUUUCAGGACAGCUUGGAGUCCUGGGUUCCUGGAACAUAUCUGGUGCUCAAAGAAAUACUAUUAUGAACCAAUACUGGGACUCUCAGAGUCCGGCAUCUGAGAAGUGCCCUAUCUAACAACCAGUGUGUCACUUAAAUUUUUUCUUGAAUAUCUUGAAGUGGGCUCGUUAGGCCAGAGAAAAAAUUCUUAAAAACCUUCAUUUUUUCUCAUAACUACUUCCCUCGCACACUGUGGUUCAUUUUCUCAUGCCCAAAUCCCUCAAGAGUCUGGGGGAAGGUGAGCAGAGAGUUCUAUUUUGACCCUGUCCCCUUUGGUCCCUCUUUGUGGGCAGGCUGCCAGGCAGGGCCAGGCUUUCCCUGCAGUCAGGAGAAGACUGUGCCACUAGGAAAGCCAGAGUCCUCUCUCUCGGUAGUGGAGGAGAUGGACAGCCUGGAGCACACCUCCGCUAGUGAUGGACCAGGAAGGGCAGGAGGGGAGGAGGGAAUGGACUCUGCUCUUCCCCUGACACGUCCCAAGCCCUGGACAGGUCACUCCCCACUGUGAGCCUCCGCCUCCUUAUCCUUCAAACUCGGCAUUCAGCCUGGAUCAUAAUAAGGGCCCUUUCCGAUUUUUCAGCGUCUAGAUUUCUCUCAUGGGUGUGUUCCUCCUACCCAAUUUCUCUUGCUCUUAAGCUUCUCCAAGGAAUUCCCAAGUCAUACAAGGAAUGUAUCUCUGAGAAGCACAGGGAGUUACUCCUGGAAAUGAAGUGUUGAGAAGAAGGCAGAGCUGGGAUCCAACCUGGGUUGUUUGGUGCCAGUGUCUGGGCUGCUCCACGGAGUCCUGCCAGGUUGGUUGGCAUCUGAGGGAGGGAGGGGGAGUGGGGGGCAGCACCUGAAGUCACUUGUUCAUCCUGUCCACAGCUCUGGGGACAGGCUGGGAAAAGUGAAAGAGACGGUAUGGUGCUGGCUUUGAUAUUGGACACUGUGGAGCCAAGUCCUGACCCCUCCACUACUGUGUGACUUUAGGGCAAUUUCCUUGAUGUCUCUGUGCCUCGGCCAUCAUCUAUAAAAUGGGGACAUGCCCAUCGGGUGGCAUUCUGGAGGACUAUGACCUAGGAAAUUGUGCAGAGCAGUGUCGGGUGCUCAGUAAGCCUCUCUCGAGCUACAAAUGGAUGGAGUAUCAGCAGAUUCCAUUCUCCGUGUUGCCCCUGCAGUCUAGGUCUCAGUUCCCAGCAGUGUCCAGCUAGAGGAGGAAAGAAAGAUGCUGCUCCUUCCGCAGCCUCUGUGGACCGCAGGGCUGAGGAGCUGUCUAGUCAAUAUGGAUGAGGUGGGCUGUGCAUCUGACUGGCCAGAGAUACAAAAUCUCUCUUGAAAAACCAAAGAGCCACAUCUUAAAGGCUUACCACACAAGCCCAAAUCCCCAGAAGAGAAAAUGCAGGGUAAAAAUAACAUUUUAGAAAAGGCAUAGGGUGGUCCACAGGGGGCCUCGUUUAUAUAACCAGUUUGUCUUGAUUAUGCUAUGUAAGCCAACUCUUGGAAAUCCCCAGAAGGCAAUUUAGGAGGAAAAUAAUAGGAGGAGGACCCCGGUGGGGGUAGGGGUGGGGGGCCGGGAAGACGUGGCUGCUCUCCCUGCACAGCUGAGGCCAGCCUGCCUGGGGCAGGGUCUCUGCGUUCAUUCAUUCCUUCCAUACUCGUGAGGUGCUUCCCAGGUGCCAGACAGGGGACAAGACAGACUAGAUCUGACCCUCAUCGAGGUCACCUUCUUCCGAGAAGAAACACUGAAUGACAGAGACUAAUACCUUGUGAACAAAUGCUGGGGGUGAUGUGGGGAAAUGGGAGGGCGAGCUCCAACACUUAAAAUGGCCAGGGGAGGCUUUUUUCUUUUCCUUCCUUUUUUCUUUUUUUCUUCCUUUUUUCUUCCUUCCUUCCUUCCUUUUCUUUCUUUUUUUUUUUUUUUUUUUUUUUUUUUUGUCUUUUUAGGGCCACACCCACAGCAUAUCGAGGUUCCCAGACUAGGGGUCGAAUUGGAGCUGUGGUUACCAGCCCAUGCCACAGCCAAAGCAACACGGGUUCUGAGUGGCAUCUGUGACCUACACCACAGCUCACAGUAAUGCCGGAUCCUUAACCCACUGAGUGAGGCCAGGGAUGUAACCUGCAUCCUCAUGGAUACUAGUUGGUUUGGUUUCCGCUGCACCACAGCCAGAACUCCCUAGGCCUGACUUUUCUGAGGGUGAUGCCUGGAGGAACCAGAGCUGAAAGAGAAGGAGGGCUUCUCAUGCAGAAGGAGUGGCAGGUGCCACGGCCCACAGGCAGGAAUGAGCCAGUGGCAUAGAUGUCCAUCAAGUAGAUGGGAAGAUAGAGCAGGGCAGGAGGAAUGGAAAGAGGGCCCUGGGCAGGCCUGGGAGCAGGGGCAGUGCCCCAGAUGAGGGGGCUGUGGGCAGGCUUGGGUCCCAAGAGCCUUGGAGACCAUCUAAGAUGUGAGCUAAGGCUAUGGGAAGCCUGCAGGUGGGGUGGGAACGGACCCGGAGUCAGUUACGGUCAAGGUCAGCAAACAUUUUUGGGUACCAGCUGUGGGCCGUGUUCUGAGCUAGAUGCAGGGAUGUGAACCUCUUCAGUUCUCCCAUGCCCUAACCAGGGGCUGUCUCAAGCCCUCACCUCUGCCCUCAAGCUUUUGGCAGAGGUGGACCCACUGGGGUUUACCAUCUGCAUCACAAGGAAGACAGAAGUGGGAGGCUGAGAUCCCCAGCUGCGUGUGCUCGCAUCCUGCCCUCUGGGACAGUGAGGGUGGCCGGAUUCUGUGCCUCCUCCCUCCCGCAUCCUGCACCCCUGCCUCUGCACACCACCCGCUCCCUCUGUUUUUAAUUAUCCUCAAAAUCUCUCACCUAGAAAAGCAAAGAAACAACCACAUCACCCCACUUUUGCCUCUGCUCUAUUUCCUUUUCCCUCACAGACAUAGAGGGGAAGAUUGACAAGGUCCCCUGUCCACUGUGUCUCCAUUUCCUCCCACCCCCCCCCAUCCCCACCCCCCGCAGGCCUAGCCACACACACAGCUCCGACAGCCCACAGCGUGAUGUGGCGGGCUCACCUCCGCGGCCUCUGACCUUCUGGAAAGCUCUUCCUGGCCAUGGCCCAGCCAUCUGCCCCCACCUGCUUCCCCUCUGUAUUCAGCACUCCUCCUACUAUGCAUCACUCCUUCAUUGUCCGGGCCACCCAGACCUGCCACCCCUCAAAGCCUCCUAGUCCUUAGCUGCAGUCCUGGCACAUAGUAAGUGCUCACAAAAUAUUCAGUCAAUGGAUGGAUGGAAGGCACGCUCUCUGCUUUAGGGGUUUGCCUUUUAUUGAAAGAGCCAAGUGGUACACACAUCAUCACAGAGCAUAAAGUGUCAGAAGUGAUGCAGCUCUUACACAGGCGUGCCGAGGGCAGGGGCACAGUCCUGGGGCAGAGCUCACCCUGCUCGGGCAGUGACGUGUCCAGGCGGCUGCGAACUGCCUCUGGUGGCAGUGCACCAAAACGCUCCCCAGAACAGGCAGGCCGGCAGCUGGCUAAUGCUCUUCAGUACCCUGAAUGUAAAUGGAGCUGUGUCUGUGUGAAUAAAUAUCCUACAGUCCCUUGUAACACUGGAGAGAGGAGGCGGCCUGAUGGCACAGCCCAUCUGGCAGCUCCAGCCCCACCAAAGACACUUGUGCUGUCUUCUUCUCAGCACAGGUCCAGGACCCAUUCUGGUAAAAAAUAAAGUCCAUGUCACAAGUUGCGGAGUUGCUUUCAUGCCCCAGGACCCCCUGGCUUUGCCUUUCUCAGCCACAGGAUCUUAAUUCUCUGGGCCUCGAGUCCUUCACCUGCGGAAGGAGGCAUAGUAACAGCAUUUCCCUCAUGCACUUGCUGUGAGCGCUGAACGAAUUAAUCCGUGUAGUAUAGGUCUGCACUUACAACGUGCCGGCCCUCGGAAAGACCUGGAAAGCGCCAAGUGUGAGCUGUGACUGUUUUCACUACCUCUGUGAUUUGGGGCGUUUGUGAUCCUCUCUGUACAUGUGUGAACACUCUUAAUAGGAUUUGAAAAAUGCAGGCGGCUGGUUUCCUGGGGGCCAUGGAUUAGAGACGGGUACCCCUGGGAGGUGGGGUUGCCAGAUGUAGCAGAUAAAAAUGCAGGGUGCGUAGUUAAAUUUUAAUUUCAGAUAAGUGGCAACUCAUUUUUUAGUACGCAUAUGUCUCACGCAGUAUUUGCGAUAUAUUUACACUAAAAAAAGCAACACCGCCAGCAGAGUUUUCUCAGGACAUUUACCCUCUGACCCAGUGGCCCGUGGUGGUGGGAGAGGCAGGAGCGAGGGUAUAAAGCCUAAGGGCCCAUCCCGGAGGAGACUCCUGUGGCCUGAGGCCUUGGCCGUGACUUUCCCUGUGUUCCUCCCAGUGUCCCCUUAGCUGACUGAUGGGCUGAUUGACAGGGUGGGCCUGAGGCUUUGGGUGUGACUUGAGGGGCCCUGGAAGGCUCUAUCCCUCAGCAUUUCUAGCUCACAUUUCCCUGGAAGCCUGCAGGCUUCACCACCAGAGAACUGGUGCCCCCAGCUGUCUGUCCCCGGCGGUGGUGGGGGGGGCCUUCAAGGUGGAACGGCCCUGAGAGUGGCCCUGUGUACACACCCACCAAGCCACCAUCAGCCCCAGAUGGGCAGGAUCUGAGAGCCUUGCAGGGUGUGGCUAGCCAGGAGCUCUCAGGGGCUCUGGAUCACAGGUUUGAAUCUGGAUUCUUCCGCAUCCUGGAGGGAAAACUCAGCUCCACUCAUUGAAGUGUGUUUAUUCUCCAUUUUCCCACCACCCAUUACAGCCUGGCAGCCUCAGAAAUGGCUCCCAGUGACUCUUCUGCACACCUUGGUGCAGGACUAAAUGUGAUGAGCUUGUGUCACCUGCCACUGAGGGCACUGGGAGAGGGGAGAGACAGGGCUUCCCCCAGAAUGGCCUGUGGCGGAGGGAGGAGCUGGCCACUAUUUGGUGAAAGCGAAUUGGCAAGAUAGCAAGAGCUUAGAGGAGCUUUCUGGCUUCUCCCGGAUGCUUUCUGCGCCCUAAGAGGGACAUGGGCCUGGAGGGGUCAUGAGGGCAGGAAUAUGGGUGUCUCAGUAGUAAACAGUAUAAACAGAUCAACAACAAUGGUUAUUGAGCUCUCUGUGUCUGGUGGUGGUCUCCACACCUUACAGGUAUUAAUCCACUGUCUCCUCACAGCGGCUUCUUCUGUAUCCCCACAAGCAAGCCGAGGGUGGAGGGUUUCGCUUAGGAAGCACCAGAAGGUCUACUUUGAAGCCUCAGCUUCAAAGAUCCUGGGUGAGAGGAGCGGCUUUUAUAGUGACUGAGGGUAAAUUUAUUCAAGUCGGAGGAGAUGUAGACUUGAACUUCACGCUAUUUCAGGAAAAAAAAAAAAAAAAAAA
rnacentral:lncRNA from 1 species